GCAAACUUGGUCAUUUAGAGGAAGUAAAAGUCGUAACAAGGUUUCCGUAGGUGAACCUGCGGAAGGAUCAUUAACGAGUAACUGAACAGGUUGUAGCUGGCCCUCCGGGGUAUGUGCACACCUGGCUCAUCCACUCUUCAACCUCUGUGCACUUGUUGUAGGUCGGUGGAAAGGCAAGUCUUAGGAUUUUGCUUGGAAGCCUUCCUAUGUUUUACUACAAACGCUUCAGUUUAAGAAUGUAUCUCUGCGUAUAACGCAUUUAUAUACAACUUUCAGCAACGGAUCUCUUGGCUCUCGCAUCGAUGAAGAACGCAGC
rnacentral:misc_RNA from 1 species